UACGUAGGGUACGAGCGUUAAUCGGAAUUACUGGGCGUAAAGCGUGCGCAGGCGGUCUCGUAAGAUAGGUGUGAAAUCCCCGGGCUCAACCUGGGAACUGCGCUUGUGACUGCGAGGCUAGAGUGCGGAAGAGGGAGGUGGAAUUCCACGUGUAGCAGUGAAAUGCGUAGAGAUGUGGAGGAACACCGAUGGCGAAGGCAGCCUCCUGGGCCAGCACUGACGCUCAUGAACGAAAGCGUGGGGAGCAAACAGG
rnacentral:rRNA from 1 species